ensembl:lncRNA
UCUUCCCUGUUUCAGUGUCACCACCAUUAUUUGCAAUAAUUCUCAAUCUCCACUCUAGCAUCCUCAGCUAGAUAAUGGUACCUUUAAUUAUGACUGAAAUACCAAGAGUUUUUGUAACUUGACUUACAGGGCAAUUGCCUCCUCUGAAACAAAAAGUGUGGCACUAAUUUUUUUUUUUUUUUGUAUGUUGAACCUGGUUAUUUCCCUCAGAGUUUCAUUUCCACUCUCUUCUAGCUAUAUUGCAGUACACAUUACAAGGAGAGAGUUUUAAAAAUCCAAUUGGUGGGAAACAUCACUUUCUUAAUGGAAGCCUGUACUGACUCCACUAAGUAAAAUGUGAACACAACUUCUAAGUUCCUCUGUGUUUCAUCAUUCAAAUUUCUCCCAAGUUUUACUUAGAGAGUGCUCCUUUUUAACCAUUUUAUGCAGAUUAUUCAAGGAUGCUUCUGACCUACCACUUUGAGAUAUUAGGCUCUUACUAAUAUUAUUUAUGAAGAAUGCGACUUCUCUUGCUAUCUAACUGCAGUGCUUUGCUUUUUAUUUGCUUUGCUACUUGCCAAAUUGAGAAAGCAAUACCAAGAUGCCAGAAGAGUAUAUUGAUCACCACCAUUUCUUACCUCAAGUUUGAGAGCACMUGGGAGAAAAGCUAGUCCAGAAAUCUAAGGAGCAUCUUUUCUCCUCCAAGGCUCCAGCAGUGUCCUCUUUUUCUGACUGUGGUACUCUGUUUUGCAAGCAUGUUUUCUCCUUGCUACCCCUUUUCCUAGUCCUACAAUCUUCCCCCUAGAGCUGAUGAAGCACUUACAUUUUGACCUGCAGGAUCCCUGUGGACUGCAGAGUUGAGCCCUGCCAUCCAGACUGCCUUUCUGCUUCAUUUUGCUCCUGACCUAAACCCCCCUGCUAUUCCAGGCCUGGCCUCUCAUGACCAGAGACUGCUGACUCAUCCUGGCCUGUGCCAAGCUGUGCAGUCGCUUAGUGAUGUGGACAGGAGUCGAAGGACUAGAAUGAGAUCACUGAACUCAUUUCACUUGUUGCUUACGGUACAGUCCAGCAUGAGCUGGAAAUGUAGGAACCUCAGCCUCCCGAGCAGAAAGAAGCCCGACGGAAAGUAUGGAACAAACAGGCCCUGCUGACGUUUUGGCUCUGUUAAGCCUUCCUCCAAGCUAAAGCAUCUGCAGCAUCUUCCUGUUCUAGACCCUUUAUCUGCUGAAGUUAGCUGAUACUGUACAUGUCAAAGAAAUGUUUGACUAUUGCAUUAACAAGUUGAUGACAAGCAAGUUAUUCCUGCAAUUGAAAUACUGCUGCUUUUAGCAGGCUGCCAUUUUGACCUUCAUUUUAUUAUAAAGAAGAACCUUAACAGAGCAAAGCACUGGGAAGAUACCAGCAUUGUUGGCCCAGGCUUGUACAGGUCAACAAAGACCACCUAUCUGGUCAUAGGUGUGGUGGUAUAGUGGGCAUACUAGGCAAUUCCAUCAAGUUAUGAAUGGGAUUUCCUAGUAAAAUAUAGAUGUUUUGAAUACAUUGGACUAUCCCAAGGAUUACUCUUGGAAGGGUAAAAUCAACUACAUGAAAGUUCAUUUUCUUUUGCUUUCUUUCUACUCCAUACCCCCACACACGUGCAUGCACAUACACAUUUAUCAAAUGUUAAUGGCUGGGACACUUAAAUGAAAAUUGUAUAUUCCCACUAUAUACAUUGUUUUGCCAGUUCUUGCUGUUCCUCCUUAUUGGUGGCCUCCCCUACCCUACUUCUYAUUUGGCGUAGUAUCUAGAACAUCUUAAUCUAAUCAGAGACAUGCCCUUAUCUCCUGAAAGGCAAGUAGGUAGCACCCUCACAGAAACCUCAGGCAGCCCUCCCUAAGACCUCGUUAGUUCAUCCCAACCUCAGCUGCCAGCAGGGAGUGCUCACACACUGUGUAACUGUUGACUCUUGUCUGAAGAGUCCUCCUCCCCUGGGGGACCCACCCUCAGUGGGUCCCAGCCUUAUCAGCCUACAGAGCCUGUCUGGAGCCUGUAAUAGGAGCUUGCCUAUGGCCCACCCUGCUAAACAUUCUGCUUUUGUUGGUGCCAUAGGAUAUCAGCACUUGGAACAAUGCAGCAUUUGCCCUAAGACUGUGGCCUUUUCAUAAUACUGAGCUUCUCUUAUUCACCAGGGUGUCAGGUGCCUUGUAUUCUUUUUAGACCCUUCAGGUCUGUUCAGGGUACACUGAUGCUGUCUGGUCUAUUUUAAAUAUUAACAUGAAAAACUUUCAUUCUCUGACUUAAGUUGUGGCUAGUACCACAGAUGCUUUCAUUUUUAAAAGUCUUGUGUAAAAAUGAUUAUUGUUGUUCAGCCAUGAGAGCCAAAUUUCUUGCCAAAGUGGUGUAGGCUUUAAUUUUCUUUUAGACUUGGCAAACUGACCACAAUACUGUCUCCCAGAUGAAUGCUUUACUCCCAUCCCAAAUAUCUCAUGCUGUAAUCUAUACCUCCGCUUUAUGGAACAACUACCUCAAAGGACAGGUGGAAAGGGUGUGAGAAGAGGGCCCAGUUCUUUAUACAGUUAAGGACAUUGUCUCUGGAAAAGGAAGUGAGGAUAGUUUGAGGCAGCAAUUGAAGGUUUCUCAAAAGAAAAUAUGUGAAUGAACAAUUUGAAUUUUAAAUAGAGUUUUACUGACUUUUUCUUUCUUUUUAAAGUUCCUAAUAGGAUUUCCAUAAUGAUUUUGUGUUUUCUUUCUUAAUAGAACUUAAAUGGCAAAUAAAUGAUAUGUUAUUUUUGAUUCA